rnacentral:rRNA from 1 species
CCUACGGGGGGCUGCAGUGGGGAAUAUUGGACAAUGGGGGGAACCCUGAUCCAGCCAUGCCGCGUGUGUGAAGAAGGCCCUCGGGUUGUAAAGCACUUUCAGUGAGGAAGAACGCCUGGUGGUGAAUACCCAUCAGGAAAGACAUCACUCACAGAAGAAGCACCGGCUAACUCCGUGCCAGCAGCCGCGGUAAUACGGAGGGUGCGAGCGUUAAUCGGAAUUACUGGGCGUAAAGCGCGCGUAGGUGGCUUGAUAAGCCGGUUGUGAAAGCCCCGGGCUCAACCUGGGAACGGCAUCCGGAACUGUCAAGCUAGAGUGCAGGAGAGGAAGGUAGAAUUCCCGGUGUAGCGGUGAAAUGCGCAGAGAUCGGGAGGAAUACCAGUGGCGAAGGCGGCCUUCUGGACUGAAACUGACACUGAGGUGCGAAAGCGUGGGUAGCAAACAGGAUUAGAUACCCCGGUAGUC